AACCUCUCUGCCUUUCCUCCCCUUUUGAACCCACAGCCAAUUUUCACGCUGGGAACAGCCUCACCCCGCAGCCCCGGCCCCAAACGCUCCUCGGGCGCUGACAUCGAAAUCCUCCAGCGGUGCCCCCGCCGCCUCCAGCAACCAAACGAACGGACCGCGUCCCACCGCCCCCGACGGCCGCCCGGCAUCCCGCGGUCCGACCCCUCCUGCACGGCCGUGUUCUGCUCCGCUGGGAGAUAACCUGGGAUUCUCCUCGUUAUUUAUCGUGGCAGCUGCUUAAACUCCGCAGCGGAAGCUGCCCGAAGUUGUUAGCGUUACGCUUCGAUCUCUUUCGGAAAUUGUGGCUUUGAUUUCUGCGCUGCUUUGCAUUAGGUGUCUAUAUACACAGAAGUGUAUAUACACAGAAGUGUACGUAUUUUUUUAAUGCUUUUUUUUUUCUUUUCUUUUUUUUCUUUUCUUUUUUUCUUUUUCUUUUCUAAUAGCGGAAUAUGAAAGGCACCCGAGUGAGCCAUCAGCCCGGGCAAUUAGAACAGGAUCAUCCUAUCCUAGAUUACCCCGAGGUGCAAGGAGCACUGAGUCCAACUCCAGCAUGUUGGUGCUGUGCCCACUGCCCUGGGAAGCCCCUUCCAUGCCCACUGCCCUCUGGUGAAGAACCUUUCCCUAACCCCCACCUGACCCUCCCCUGAUGCAGCUCCAUGUUGUCCCCUCUGGCCCUGUCGCUGUCUCCAGAGAGCAGAGCUCAUCUCCAGCUCUCCCUGCAGCCAUGAGGGGGCUGCAGGCUGCCACAAGGCCUCCCUUCAGCCCCUACUUCUCUGGGCUGAACGAACCAAAGGACCUCAGCCACUCCUCGUACAUUCUUCCCUCCAGGCCCUUCCCCAUAUCUGUAGCCCUCCACUGGGAUUUCUGUGAUCGUUUUAUGUUCUUAUUUUGUGGUGCCCAAACGGCGCACGGUGAUCAAGGUGAGGCCACUCCGUGCAGAGCAGACCCACUCAGGGUCCAAAUCUGCUCCUGAUGUCACCACCUUAUUUUCACUACCAGGUUAAGCAGGGCGAAACCCAUGUCAUAUGUACACAGGGCCACAUUCCUACUCAAGAGACACCUUGCCCACGUAGGUUAAAUUUAUAGCCACUUUGUUGGGUUUUUUUAACAUAUGUUUACCUAUUGCUUAAAUGCUUAAUCAUCCUUGAUCAUUUCUCCUUCUUUAUCCAUCCAUAGAACCUUUGCUUUUCUGCUUCAUCGUUUUGCAGUACAAUGGAUAAGGAUUACCAUGUGGGUCACUCCAAAUUACUUUUGCUCUUUUUCUUCAUUCCCAUCGUUGUAGAAAAUGUUCCCACUGUGGUAUAGUUGUGUUCUGACAAAGUUGGUCAGUUUUCAGCUUUUCACAGAUAAGUUUUGGGAUUAUUCCUGUACUCUCUCUGCAAAAUGCAGUCUGUCAAGGAAGAUCUUUGGAAAGGUAAAUUUAUCUGU
ensembl:lncRNA